UUGCUCUUCAACGAGGAAUGCCUAGUAAGCGCGUGUCAUCAGCACGCGUUGAUUACGUCCCUGCCCUUUGUACACACCGCCCGUCGCUACUACCGAUUGAAUGGCUCAGUGAGGNUUCGGACUGGCCCAGGGAGAGUUGGCAACGACCACCCCGGGCCGGAAAGUUGGUCAAACUCGGUCAUUUAGAGGAAGUAAAAGUCGUAACAAGGUUUCCGUAGGUGAACCUGCGGAAGGAUCAUUAUCGWGGGGCUUCGGCCCUAUCGAGAUAGAACCCUUGCCUUUUUUGAGUACCGUACCGUUUCCUCGGCAGGMUCGCCUGCCAAUGGGGACCCCAAACCAAACUCUUGUAUAUAAUCGUGCAGUUUAGUMUGAAAAAACAAACAAAAAUUAAAACUUUCAACAACGGAUCUCUUGGUUMUGGCAUCGAUGAAGAACGCAGCGAAAUGCGAUAAGUAGUGUGAAUUGCAGAAUUCAGUGAAUCAUCGAAUCUUUGAACGCACAUUGCGCCCUUUGGUAUUCCUUAGGGCAUGCCUGUUCGAGCGUCAUUUACACCUUCAAGNUCUGSUUGGUGUUGGGUGUCUGUCCCGCCCCMUGGGGCGCGGACUCGCCUCAAAUGAAUUGGCGGCCGGUACGUUGGYUUCGAGYGCAGCAGAAACGCGAACUCGAGGCUGGCGGGCCAGCUCCCAGAAGCUCUUUUAUAUGUUUGACCUCGGAUCAGGUAGGGAUACCCGCUGAACUUAAGCAUAUCAAUAAGCGGAGGA
rnacentral:rRNA from 1 species